GGAGAGGAGAAGGUGGAAGGUGGGGAGAGAAAGAGACAGAGGCAGACAGAGACCUGAAGAAGAUCUACCUCAAGUCUAAGACUCAACUCAGGAAUAUUUUGAAAAAUUGAUGCAUGAACCCCGCCCCAGACUACUUGUAGAAGAAUUCCUGACAGAAGCAGCAUCCUUCCCAGGCAAGUUGAUCCUACCUCAGCUCCAAGGGACACCUGGUAGAUGUUGAAGAAAACUCCGCCCAGGCCCUUGGCUCAGGAAAGGCCACAGGACACUAUGUUGGCCAAUGAUACAAGAGCAGAAGCUUGCCUGGGGACUUCUGGAAAAAAUUCCCUCCUUCCAGGUUGUUUCCCUUUCUGGGUAUUGUCUGAUCUGCAUGUGAUCCCUGGGGAUUACUUUGCCCAUCUUAUGACUAGACUGUGGGUGAGCCCAGAGUAAAACAGAGAAGAAAAUAAAAAGGACAUAGGCCUCUGUAUCACUACUGAUCCCUUUAAUCAACCUGCAGUGAAGACUGCCUUACUCUGAAUUUCCUGUUCCAGGCAGUA